UGGGAACUGCAGGUUUUUAACUGGAGAGGGAGAGUUGGAGCUGGGAACUGCAGGUUUUUAACUGGAGAGGGAGAGUUGGAGCUGGGAACUGCAGGAUUUAGCUGGAGAAUGAGAGCUGGAGCUGGGACCUGCAGUGUCUAGAUCCCAUUUGGAGUAAGGAGGAGGAUGGGGGAGAUUGAGGUACAAGGCACCUUCCCACCUCUCUGCACAGCUGCUCCUCCCACUGUUCCUCGGGAGUCAGGCUUGGGAAUUGAUCCAGCUGGAAAUCAUCCUGCUUAUACACAAAGUCAUGACUCACUGCUGAAGGAGCUCCAAGUCCUCUUUGGAACAGCACAUUUCCUCCUUGAGGAAAUGACACAAACCCAUUCUGUCCCAUCAGCUGAGCAGCACAGGAGGAAGGAGCAGGAGGCAUCAGGAGACUUCCCUGCCACCAAACCUGCUUGUGGGACCCAUCUUCCUGUUGGUAGGAAACUUCUGUGGGCAGAAAACUCCCGGGUUGUUCCCUGACUGUGCUGGGAAAAGUGUGUCAGCAGCAGAGCUGGGCCCCAAGGCUGCAGAGCUGUCCCUUGACACAUCAACAGCUGUGCCACCAGCAGGGCAGGACAGGGAUUCUGGGACAAAGCAGCCUGGUUUUGCUGGAGUGGAUCAAAUCUGCAGGCUCUGGAUACAAGGUCCAUCCUCCUCGGCUCAGUGGGAGCGGGAAGUGCCCCAUCACUGCCCGGUGCUGGAGUCUGUACACAGCCCUGUGGCCUCAGAGCACUCCUUGUCUGCUGAAUUUGCAACAAUUAAUCCCAUGAUUUCCCUGCUAAUUAAACUUCUCCCUUUGGAAAAAUGAUAUUUUAAUGAAAAUUAAUGAGGUCCUGGCACAAAGAUGAUCCUUCCCCUGCUCUGUGCCAUGGA